rnacentral:rRNA from 1 species
GAUGACGGUACCGGAAGAAUAAGCACCGGCUAACUACGUGCCAGCAGCCGCGGUAAUACGUAGGGUGCGAGCGUUAAUCGGAAUUACUGGGCGUAAAGCGUGCGCAGGCGGUUUGCUAAGACCGAUGUGAAAUCCCCGGGCUCAACCUGGGAACUGCAUUGGUGACUGGCAGGCUAGAGUAUGGCAGAGGGGGGUAGAAUUCCACGUGUAGCAGUGAAAUGCGUAGAGAUGUGGAGGAAUACCGAUGGCGAAGGCAGCCCCCUGGGCCAAUACUGACGCUCAUGCACGAAAGCGUGGGGAGCAAACAGGAUUAGAUACCCUGGUAGUCCACGCCCUAAACGAUGUCAACUAGUUGUUGGGGAUUCAUUUCCUUAGUAACGUAGCUAACGCGUGAAGUUGACCGCCUGGGGAGUACGGUCGCAAGAUUAAAACUCAAAGGAAUUGACGGGGACCCGCACAAGCGGUGGAUGAUGUGGAUUAAUUCGAUGCAACGCGAAAAACCUUACCUACCCUUGACAUGGUC